UGGCGGCACUAGCGCGGGUGGUCCCACCUGACCCCAUGCCGAAACUCAGAAGUGAAACGCCGUAGCGCCGAUGGUAGUGUGGGGUCUCCCCAUUGCGAGAGUAGGGAACUGCCAGGCA
rnacentral:rRNA from 1 species